GACGAACGCUGGCGGCGUGCCUAAUACAUGCAAGUAGAACGCUGAAGGAGGAGCUUGCUUCUCUGGAUGAGUUGCGAACGGGUGAGUAACGCGUAGGUAACCUGCCUGGUAGCGGGGGAUAACUAUUGGAAACGAUAGCUAAUACCGCAUAAUAUUGACUAUUGCAUGAUAGUCAGUUGACAGGUGCAACUGCACCACUACCAGAUGGACCUGCGUUGUGUUAGCUAGCUGGUGGGGUAACGGCCCACCAAGGCGACGAUACAUAGCCGACCUGAGAGGGGGGUCGGACACGCUGGGAGUGAGAAAGGGCCCAGAGUCAGAGGGGAGGCAGCAGUAGGGGAUAGUAGGUAAGAGACGGAAGCAAGGCCGGGCAACGUGGCGGGGGGGAAGAAGGUUUACGGGGAGUAAAGCCCGGUUGUAAGAGAAGAACGAGUGUGAGAGUGGAAAGCUCACACUGUGACGGUAUCUUACCAGAAAGGGACGGCUAACUACGUG
rnacentral:rRNA from 1 species